GGCAGGUCUGAAAGUAGCAAGUUAUCUCGAUUGUUCACAGUCAGUUACAGAUCACAUGAACUCCUUGUUUCACUCUUUCCCUCUUUCCCACUAUUGCACUUGACUAGUCUUUA
ensembl:misc_RNA Y_RNA Y RNA